CAAGUUUGCAGUUUCAGCAGGGAUUACAAUAAAUAAGUAUUUAUUAUUGUUUAGGGAUGGCAAGAUUUUGUGAACCAGAGGCACCUCCACAUAUGCACCUGCGGCACUUCUGCAGCCUCAACAGCACGGAAAAGUACCUGAUGUGCAUGCUGUGACAAGCUGCUGUAGGUAUGGCUGGACCUGGAGAAGAAGUGUAAGCAGACCAUGCUAUGUUGCUGAUCUGCGCUGAUCUCCACAUCCAAGUUGGUCCCGCGACAGUUGGGCACCAUUGUGCCUUGCUUCAUUGACAAGGUGAUAUAAUAUGGUGCCCUGCUCGCUCUCACCCAAGCAACCCACUCCAGCGGUCUUCUCUCGGCAGACUGGAUGCAUCGAAAUACCGUUAGAAGGUCCAAUAAACAGUGCUUGGGACAUUUA